AGGAUAAACGCUGGCGGCGUGCCUAACACAUGCAAGUCGAACGUCCUACGCAAGUAGGGAGUGGCGGACGGGUGAGUAACACGUGGGCAAUCUACCUUUCGGUGAGGAAUACCGGCGAGAAAUCGCCGACAAUACCGCAUACGCUUCGCAAGAAGCAAAGUCGCAAGACGCCGGAGGAGGAGCCUGCGCCCGAUUAGCUGGUUGGUGAGGUAAGAGCUUACCAAGGCGACGAUCGGUAGC
rnacentral:rRNA from 1 species